AAUCUUCCGCAAUGGACGUAAGUCUGACGGAGCAACGCCGCGUGAGUGAUUAAUGUUUUCGGUUCGUAAAUCUCGGUUGUCAGGGAAGAACAAGUAUCGGAAUAACUGCCGGUACCUUGUCUGUACCUGACGAGAAAGUCACGGCUAACUCCGAUCCAGCAGCCGCGGUAAGACGUAGGUGGCAAGCUGUGUCCGGAAUUAUUGGGCGUAAAGCGGGCGCAGGCGGUCUUUUAAGUCUGAUGUGAAAGCCCCCGGCUCAACCGGGGAGGGUCAUUGGAAACUGGGAGACUUGAGUGAAGAAGAGAAGAGUGGAAUUCCACGUGUAGCGGUGAAAUGCGUAGAGAUGUGGAGGAACACCAGUGGCGAAGGCGACUCUUUGGUCUGUAACUGACGCUGAGGCGCGAAAGCGUGGGGAGCGAAC
rnacentral:rRNA from 1 species